rnacentral:rRNA from 1 species
UACGUAGGCAGCAAGCGUUGUUCGGAUUUACUGGGCGUAAAGGGCGCGUAGGCGGCGCGGUAAGUCACUUGUGAAAUCUCUGAGCUUAACUCAGAACGGCCAAGUGAUACUGCAGUGCUAGAGUGUGGAAGGGGCAAUCGGAAUUCUUGGUGUAGCGGUGAAAUGCGUAGAUAUCAAGAGGAACACCUGAGGUGAAGACGGGUUGCUGGGCCAACACUGACGCUGAUGCGCGAAAGCCAGGGGAGCAAACGGG